rnacentral:rRNA from 1 species
GGGUUGUGAGGUUAAGCGACUAAGCGUACACGGUGGAUGCCCUGGCAGUCAGAGGCGAUGAAGGACGUGCUAAUCUGCGAUAAGCGUCGGUAAGGUGAUAUGAACCGUUAUAACCGGCGAUUUCCGAAUGGGGAAACCCAGUGUGUUUCGACACACUAUCAUUAACUGAAUCCAUAGGUUAAUGAGGCGAACCGGGGGAACUGAAACAUCUAAGUACCCCGAGGAAAAGAAAUCAACCGAGAUUCCCCCAGUAGCGGCGAGCGAACGGGGAGCAGCCCAGAGCCUGAAUCAGUGUGUGUGUUAGUGGAAGCGUCUGGAAAGGCGCGCGAUACAGGGUGACAGCCCCGUACACAAAAAUGCACAUGCUGUGAGCUCGAUGAGUAGGGCGGGACACGUGGUAUCCUGUCUGAAUAUGGGGGGACCAUCCUCCAAGGCUAAAUACUCCUGACUGACCGAUAGUGAACCAGUACCGUGAGGGAAAGGCGAAAAGAACCCCGGCGAGGGGAGUGAAAAAGAACCUGAAACCGUGUACGUACAAGCAGUGGGAGCACGCUUAGGCGUGUGACUGCGUACCUUUUGUAUAAUGGGUCAGCGACUUAUAUUCUGUAGCAAGGUUAACCGAAUAGGGGAGCCGAAGGGAAACCGAGUCUUAACUGGGCGUUAAGUUGCAGGGUAUAGACCCGAAACCCGGUGAUCUAGCCAUGGGCAGGUUGAAGGUUGGGUAACACUAACUGGAGGACCGAACCGACUAAUGUUGAAAAAUUAGCGGAUGACUUGUGGCUGGGGGUGAAAGGCCAAUCAAACCGGGAGAUAGCUGGUUCUCCCCGAAAGCUAUUUAGGUAGCGCCUCGUGAAUUCAUCUCCGGGGGUAGAGCACUGUUUCGGCAAGGGGGUCAUCCCGACUUACCAACCCGAUGCAAACUGCGAAUACCGGAGAAUGUUAUCACGGGAGACACACGGCGGGUGCUAACGUCCGUCGUGAAGAGGGAAACAACCCAGACCGCCAGCUAAGGUCCCAAAGUCAUGGUUAAGUGGGAAACGAUGUGGGAAGGCCCAGACAGCCAGGAUGUUGGCUUAGAAGCAGCCAUCAUUUAAAGAAAGCGUAAUAGCUCACUGGUCGAGUCGGCCUGCGCGGAAGAUGUAACGGGGCUAAACCAUGCACCGAAGCUGCGGCAGCGACGCUUAUGCGUUGUUGGGUAGGGGAGCGUUCUGUAAGCCUGCGAAGGUGUGCUGUGAGGCAUGCUGGAGGUAUCAGAAGUGCGAAUGCUGACAUAAGUAACGAUAAAGCGGGUGAAAAGCCCGCUCGCCGGAAGACCAAGGGUUCCUGUCCAACGUUAAUCGGGGCAGGGUGAGUCGACCCCUAAGGCGAGGCCGAAAGGCGUAGUCGAUGGGAAACAGGUUAAUAUUCCUGUACUUGGUGUUACUGCGAAGGGGGGACGGAGAAGGCUAUGUUGGCCGGGCGACGGUUGUCCCGGUUUAAGCGUGUAGGCUGGUUUUCCAGGCAAAUCCGGAAAAUCAAGGCUGAGGCGUGAUGACGAGGCACUACGGUGCUGAAGCAACAAAUGCCCUGCUUCCAGGAAAAGCCUCUAAGCAUCAGGUAACAUCAAAUCGUACCCCAAACCGACACAGGUGGUCAGGUAGAGAAUACCAAGGCGCUUGAGAGAACUCGGGUGAAGGAACUAGGCAAAAUGGUGCCGUAACUUCGGGAGAAGGCACGCUGAUAUGUAGGUGAAGCGACUUGCUCGUGGAGCUGAAAUCAGUCGAAGAUACCAGCUGGCUGCAACUGUUUAUUAAAAACACAGCACUGUGCAAACACGAAAGUGGACGUAUACGGUGUGACGCCUGCCCGGUGCCGGAAGGUUAAUUGAUGGGGUUAGCGCAAGCGAAGCUCUUGAUCGAAGCCCCGGUAAACGGCGGCCGUAACUAUAACGGUCCUAAGGUAGCGAAAUUCCUUGUCGGGUAAGUUCCGACCUGCACGAAUGGCGUAAUGAUGGCCAGGCUGUCUCCACCCGAGACUCAGUGAAAUUGAACUCGCUGUGAAGAUGCAGUGUACCCGCGGCAAGACGGAAAGACCCCGUGAACCUUUACUAUAGCUUGACACUGAACAUUGAGCCUUGAUGUGUAGGAUAGGUGGGAGGCUUAGAAGUGUGGACGCCAGUCUGCAUGGAGCCGACCUUGAAAUACCACCCUUUAAUGUUUGAUGUUCUAACGUUGACCCGUAAUCCGGGUUGCGGACAGUGUCUGGUGGGUAGUUUGACUGGGGCGGUCUCCUCCUAAAGAGUAACGGAGGAGCACGAAGGUUGGCUAAUCCUGGUCGGACAUCAGGAGGUUAGUGCAAUGGCAUAAGCCAGCUUGACUGCGAGCGUGACGGCGCGAGCAGGUGCGAAAGCAGGUCAUAGUGAUCCGGUGGUUCUGAAUGGAAGGGCCAUCGCUCAACGGAUAAAAGGUACUCCGGGGAUAACAGGCUGAUACCGCCCAAGAGUUCAUAUCGACGGCGGUGUUUGGCACCUCGAUGUCGGCUCAUCACAUCCUGGGGCUGAAGUAGGUCCCAAGGGUAUGGCUGUUCGCCAUUUAAAGUGGUACGCGAGCUGGGUUUAGAACGUCGUGAGACAGUUCGGUCCCUAUCUGCCGUGGGCGCUGGAGAACUGAGGGGGGCUGCUCCUAGUACGAGAGGACCGGAGUGGACGCAUCACUGGUGUUCGGGUUGUCAUGCCAAUGGCACUGCCCGGUAGCUAAAUGCGGAAGAGAUAAGUGCUGAAAGCAUCUAAGCACGAAACUUGCCCCGAGAUGAGUUCUCCCUGACCCUUUAAGGGUCCUGAAGGAACGUUGAAGACGACGACGUUGAUAGGCCGGGUGUGUAAGCGCAGCAAUGCGUUGAGCUAACCGGUACUAAUGAACCGUGAGGCUUAACCUUACAACGCCGAAGCUGUU